rnacentral:rRNA from 1 species
UACGUAGGGGGCAAGCGUUGUCCGGAUUUAUUGGGCGUAAAGAGCGUGUAGGCGGCCAAGCAGGUCAGCUGUGAAAACUCGAGGCUCAACCUCGAGACGUCGGUUGAAACCGCUUGGCUAGAGUCCGGAAGAGGAGAGUGGAAUUCCCGGUGUAGCGGUGAAAUGCGCAGAUAUCGGGAAGAACACCCGUGGCGAAGGCGGCUCUCUGGGACGGUACUGACGCUGAGACGCGAAAAGCGUGGGGAGCGAACGAGG